UUUGAUAAGGGGAGUCUUUCUUCCCUAAUCUGCUUUUUGGAUUUGCUCAUUUGUCUAGCCACAUAUAUAGUACGUGUACGUGGUGGCAAAGUGCUUGGGCACUGCAAUCAGUCUCCUGGGUUUGCACCCCAGCUCCGCCACUUGACAUGUAGGCUGGGGGAAGCCACAUCACUUUUAUGUGCUUUGGUUUUCUCACCUGGAAAAUGAGGAUAAUCAUAUGCUCUCUUGUUAGUGUUAUCAUGGGGUGAAGAUGAGGCAAUGCCAAGUAUAGUGCCGCGUACAGAGCCUGGAGCAAGGUAAGCACCCAAGAAUGCGAACUGCUACUAUUGUGGUCAUGAUUUUCUAGCUUGUAGCAGAACUACUACUUAUUUAGAUCAUGGCAUCUAAAAAUACAUUUCCUCAAAUAUCAAAAGAGCCAGGACCAGAAUCUUGGCCUCUGGCCUCAAAGAUAAUGCCUUUUCCCGGCAUUUCCCCUGGACAGGCUGGGAAACAUCGCACCACAAAAUCUACACUCUUUCAAUCCUAAAAGAGUUUAAAAAGGUAAAGAAGUACAUGGGUGAUUUUGGAUCAAUUUUCCAUUUGAAACAGCUCAGCAAACAGCCGACUACGCCUAAUGGGCCCUUGAAAUGCUCUCUUUUAUGAAAUUCCAGAUGUGAAAAAGGACACACUACAAAGUGAUGAGCUUGUUUCCCACUUCACUGGAAAACAAAAUGGGAAUAUUCAGAAGAUAAGUUCCACAGCUCCCAUAGCAUCUUCCUAUCUACCAGGAUUUGGACCUUCUACACCCUGCUCCCAUUAAGGAAUUAGCCUUGCUCUUGUCCAAAACUAGCCUUUGCGUAUGCCUUAGAUCCUAUCCCCCUUGCUUGCUCACAGGCUUUGCUCCAGCAAUUCUCCCUAUUUUUCCCCUAUACCAUCAGCUUCCUCUCUCUACUAGGUCAUUUCCACCAGCACACAACAAUACUGUCUCUCUCAUCUUAGAAAUGGAAACUAACAAAAUUGAGUUCACUUUUCCUUCUGACACUAUCCCUUUUCUACCUCCCCCACUUUACAGCAAAACUCUUUGAAAGCUGCCUGAAUUUCACUGCUUCCAUUUCCUCUCCUCUUCUCACUUAAACCUACUGCUGCCAGAACCGGGACUCCACCACCUCACCAGACCCCUGCUUGUCAAUAUCAUCAAUGACUUCCAUCUUGCUAAAUCCAUUUCUUGUCCCCAUUGAACUUGACCCUCAGUAACACCUUGUCAAAUUAACCACUCCCUUCUCAUGGAAAUGAUUUCUUGUUUUCUAAGACACUACACAUUUCGUUUUCCUUCAACACCCCUGGAUGCUGCUUCCCAGUCUUGUCCCUUAACCUCCUAGCACUGAAGUGAUGCAGGGCUCAGUCCACAGAUCUCUUCAUCUUUCCUGUUCACUCCAUACUCACCCUCUUGGUAAUUCCCUUCCAGUUUCAUCGUUUAAAUGGCAUCUGUCUGCAAAUGAUUAUCAAAUGUAUGCCUCCAGCCAUGGCCACUGCUCUCAACGUUAGCUUAUCCAUCUAACUGUCAACUCUGUAUCUCUACCUGGACGCCUGAUGGAGGUCUCCAAUGUACCAUGCCCUAAACUGAAAUUUUGAUCUUCUUUAUCCACAGAAUCUGCUCGACCCUAUCUCAGUUAAAGGUAUCUAUGCCCUGGUCUAGAAGGCCUUCAGUAAUUAGAAAGCAUGUAUUUUGUGUGUAUGCCUUGAUAAGUGUUGACUGUAGCUAUAGCAAGGGAUAAUUCAUCAUCAGGAAAUGGUCAGGAGAGUGUCUCCAAAUCUUUUAAGCAUGCGCUAACCUUCAUAUAUAGGGUCCUUGUAUUACCUUUUCUCAAGUUGUACUAUAAUGUCCCGACCUUCAAAAGACCUUAUCCUUGUACAUUUGAGGACUCUUAUCUUUCCUAAUUAAAGUCAGAUGGUUGUCUUGUGGGUUUUCUUCUUCCUUUCUCUUUUGUGAGCUGCCUCUUAACAGCUGUGGUGUGUUGCUAGUGAAUUAUCAGUGGACAG
rnacentral:lncRNA from 10 species